rnacentral:pre_miRNA from 8 species
UCCCACAUCCUCACCUGGCUGAGCCGCAGUAGUUCUUCAGUGGCAAGCUUUAUGUCCUGACCCAGCUAAAGCUGCCAGUUGAAGAACUGUUGCCCUCUGCCCCUGGCUUCGAGGAGGAGG